rnacentral:rRNA from 1 species
UACGAAGGGGGGCUAGCGUUGCUCGGAAUCACUGGGCGUAAAGCGCACGUAGGCGGCUUUCUAAGUCAGGGGUGAAAUCCUGGAGCUCAACUCCAGAACUGCCUUUGAUACUGGAGAGCUUGAGUUCCGGAAGAGGUGAGUGGAACUCCGAGUGUAGAGGUGAAAUUCGUAGAUAUUCGGAAGAACACCAGUGGCGAAGGGCGG